GGUAAGAUGGCCGAGAUAGGCGUUAGGCUGUAGACCUUUUUACAGGGGUUUAAUCCCCUUCUUAUCA
rnacentral:tRNA from 1 species